rnacentral:lncRNA from 1 species
UCUGGUUUGAUUUUAGUUCUACUAGAACCUCAUGCUCUUUGGUCCCAUAUUCGAAUCCAAAUCCAACCCGUAAAUCCUUGUCAGGGCGGAAUAGUCAUGGUUGACGAAAUUGAUGGUUGAUAGAUACUUGCUUAGAUCCAAGUGUAGCCGUUAAGUUGGGCCCAACCACCCAGCAUCUAGGUCGAACCAGCUGGCGCAAUCAGCCUGCUUCUCGAAUAUUUAGACCACCAAUUCAAUGCCACU